UACGUAGGGGGCUAGCGUUGUCCGGAAUCAUUGGGCGUAAAGAGCGCGUAGGCGGCCAGAUAAGUCCGGUGUGAAAGUCACAGGCUCAACCUGUGAAUGCCGCUGGAAACUGUCUGGCUAGAGUCCGGGAGGGGCGAGUGGAAUUCCUGGUGUAGCGGUGAAAUGCGCAGAUAUCAGGAGGAACACCAAUGGCGAAGGCAGCUCGCUGGAACGGUACUGACGCUGAGGCGCGAAAGCGUGGGGAGCGAACAGG
rnacentral:rRNA from 1 species